GAGAUAAAAUAGAGGCUAGCGUCCACGAGGCGAAGCUAAGCAUUUCCAAACUCAAUAACUCAAGCCCAUGUCCAUAGUUGAAGCCCAUGAGGAGAAGGCAACCUGAGAAGAAACCAACUCACUAUGAAACCCGGUAGAAUAACACAAGUGCAAUUACUUUGAAAAUUUGGGGACCACAAGAAGCAGAGAAAUAGAAAUGGUUACGCACGAUGGAAGUGGGAGAAUCGAGGGCAAGGAGAGAGAGAGGGGAGAGAGAAGAUUUCAAGUAUAAGAGGAAGAAGGAUUUUCGGGUGAAGGAUGGAAGUUGUGUUCUUUUUCUUGUAGAUUUGGGAUUGGAGGAGGAAAUUCAAGAUGCUGUGGACUUCUUUUGUGAACUACAUGAUGAACCGCGUUCGCUUGGUGGCGUUCUUUCGUUUUAUACUGUAAUUUCAUUUUAAACGGGUGACACUUUAUCUCUUUGAUUCUCUGUCUCAUCGUUGGUGAUCAGAGUUCAUUUCUUUGAAUCUAAUUGUUUUCUUGGCAUCAGAUUAUGAAUAAAAAGAGCUCAACUUUAUAUGGUUAUAUUCUCGGCUGAAACAGGGUGCGGAAAGAAUUAGAAACAAAAUGUAAUCAUUGUACUGUAUGUCCUGUUGUUUUCACCUAAUAUUUAGAAUAUUUUCAUUUGUUUCACGAAAAA